rnacentral:rRNA from 1 species
UACAGAGGAGCCAAGCGUUGUCCGGAUUGACUGGGCGUAAAGCGCACGCAGGCGGUUUGGCGCGUGGGGUGUGAAAUCUGGCCGCUUAACGGCCAGGCGCCAUCCCAUACGGCUAGACUGGAGUGAUGCAGAGGUCGGUGGAAUUGCCGGUGUAGUGGUGAAAUGCGUAGAGAUCGGCAGGAACACCCAGGGGGAAACCAGCCGACUGGGCAUCGGACUGACGCUGAGGUGCGAGAGCGUGGGGAGCGAACCGG